GAUGAACGCUGGCGGCGUGCCUAAUACAUGCAAGUCGAGCGAACAGACGAGGAGCUUGCUCCUCUGACGUUAGCGGCGGACGGGUGAGUAACACGUGGAUAACCUACCUAUAAGACUGGGAUAACUUCGGGAAACCGGAGCUAAUACCGGAUAAUAUAUUGAACCGCAUGGUUCAAUAGUGAAAGACGGUUUUGCUGUCACUUAUAGAUGGAUCCGCGCCGCAUUAGCUAGUUGGUAAGGUAACGGCUUACCAAGGCAACGAUGCGUAGCCGACCUGAGAGGGUGUUCGGCCACACUGGAACUGAGACACGGUCCAGACUCCUACGGGAGGCAGCAGUAGGGAAUCUUCCGCAAUGGGCGAAAGCUUGACGGAGCAACGCCGCGUGAGUGAUGAAGGUCUUCGGAUCGUAAACCUCUGUUAUUAGGGAAGAACAAAUGUGUAAGUAACUGUGCACGUCUUGACGGUACCUAAUCAGAAAGCCACGGCUAACUACGUG
rnacentral:rRNA from 1 species